rnacentral:rRNA from 1 species
AGCAUAUGGAGAAUGCCUUGACUCGUAUGAGCGAUGAAGGACGUAGCAGGCUGCGAUAAGCCUCGGGGAGCUGCCAAGCAAGCUUUGAUCCGUGGAUUUCCGAAUGGGGAAACCCUCCUGUUUUUUAGCAGGAAUUAUUAUUUGAAUUCAUAGAAUAAUAAAGUCAACCUAGUGAACUGAAACAUCUUAGUAGCUAGAGGAAUAUAAAUCAAUAGAGAUUCCGUCAGUAGUGGCGAGCGAAAGCGGAACAGUCUAAACCAGUGCUACGCAUUGGAAAUUUCAAAUUCCAAAUUCCAAAAACCAAAUAAAUUCCAAAAACCAAAAUUCUAAAUUUCAAAACAUGUAUUUGUUUGUGAUUUAUUAUUUUGAGUAUUGUGAUUUGUUUGGAAAUUGUGAUUUGUUAUUUGGUUAUUCCACUGCGUGGCAUUGGGGUUGCGAGGUAGUCGUACUCGUUUGAUCGUGGUUGCUUUAUAUUUUUUAGUAGAACACUUUGGGAAGAGUGGCCAUAGAAGGUAACAGCCCUGUAUACGAAAAAAAAUAUAAAGUGAUGAGACUAUCCUCAAGUAGGACGGGACCGGAGAAAUCCUGUCUGAAUCAGGGAGCACUAACUUCCAAGACUAAAUAUUAUACGAGAUCGAUAGUGAACAAGUAGAUCGAUAGUGAACAAGUACCGUGAGGGAAAGGUGAAAAGCAUCCCGAUGAGGGAGAUGAAAUAGUAUCUGAAACCAUAUGUUAACAAGGAGUCAGAGCGGUGUUUACACCGCAAUGGCGUACUUUUUGUAGAACGGGCCAACGAGUUAAUUUUAUACGGCUUGCAUAAACCACUUUGUGGGAUAUGCGUAGUGAAAGCGAGGCUUAACCGCCGAAUUUGUCGUAUGAAUUAGACCCGAAGCCAGGCGAGCUACGCAUGAGCAGGGUGAACUCCGAAUUCUUUUGUUUCUUAUCCGGGCAGUUAGAACCUCGGCGCUAAGGUCGAGGCUCAAAAGGGAAAAAGCCCAGAUCAUAAUCUAAGGUCCCAAAAUUCAUGUUAAGUGGUAAAGGAAGUGAAAUUUCUGAAACACCUAGUAGGUUGGCUUAGAAGCAGCCAUCCUUUAAAGAGUGCGUAAUAGCUCACUAGCUUAGAGAUUUCGCGUCGAAGAUGUAACGGGGCUAAACAUGAUACCGAAGAUAUGGAAUCUGUGUGUAACACAGAAAUUCUAAAUUCCAAAUUCCAAAAACCAAAUAAAUUCCAAAAACCAAAAUUCUAAAUUUCAAAACAUGUAUUUGUUUGUGAUUUAUUAUUUUGAAUAUUGAAUUUUGUUUGG